AUGUGAACCUUUUUUAUUGUCAACGAUUACGAAUCCUGUAACUGAUAGAAAUUACAUACAAUCAAUCCUUUUAGCGAAAUUUCCAGUCUAAAAAAGGUUCACAUAUGACCAGAUCUAAUGCACAAAAUUUAAACAAAAUAAUGGAAUUUGGGGCCACUUCUCAUUGGAAAAUCAACAACUGCAGAAGGGUUUCUAGAGAA
rnacentral:misc_RNA from 1 species